rnacentral:tRNA from 1 species
AAGGGUAUAGCUCAGAGGCAGAGCGCAUGCUUAGCAUGCAUGAGGUCCUGGGUUCAAUCUCCAGUACCUCCA